AGGGUGUAGCUCAGUGGUAGAGUGCCUGCCUAGCAUGCAUGAAAUCCUGGGUUCAAUUCUCAGCAUCUCUG
rnacentral:tRNA from 1 species